CAUAAUUCAAAAAAAUCGUUGUCAUAGCACGACUGUGUACUACACAACUGUGUAUAUACAUAUAAUCCAAAAAUAAAAACUAAGUAAAUACAUAUAUAAAUAUAGGUAUAUAUAUCGUCUGUUUGCACUGCGUAGCAUGAAUAAGAUCUAUCAACUAGCGGGGAAGAAGAAGAGGGGAAGCCAUGAAUUGGAUCUCUCUCUCUCUCUUAAUCGAUCACUCCGCCGCCUCCUCAACCAACAAUCACCACCUUCACCGCUCCAAACACCAUCGCCGCCUUCCGUGGGGAGACAUGGGUGCUCUCAAACAUCUGGCUAUGACAAUCGCCUUACUGUUUCUUCUUUCUUUGUGUGGUUGAUGGCGGUUCUAAUUGAUGUGGGUUUUUGGAAAUUUUUGGGUUGAAAGGGAUUUGGAGGGGAUUGUGAAGAGGUUGCUUCCAUUGAUUUUUUGUUUUUUGUUUUAGCAAGAGGCUGCUUUCAUGGUUGAUGAUGCUUGUUGAAGAGGGAAAGAAGGAAGAAGAGGAUUCAGGAUAGGAUUGUGACGUGGGUUUUUAUUUUAUUUUAAAAAAAAUAAUUUUGGUCUCCAAUAUCUUCAUUUACUUAAUUUUCAAAUUCCAAUUAAAUAUAAUUAGUUACUUAUAAAUAUAUUCAUUUGUGGAACUCUUUAUUUUUUUUCAAAAUAUAGGAUGGGGGAAGCUAUAUAUGAAUAAGAAGCAAAAUUCCAAUUCUCAUUAUAUAUGUACCUACUAUAGGAUUUGACUUUGUUUCUCUAAGCUUCCAUAAUUUCGGCCCUUUGUAGGAUAAGAAAGAUAUAUAUACAUAUGUAC
rnacentral:lncRNA from 1 species